UACGGGGGGGGCAAGCGUUGUUCGGAAUUACUGGGCGUAAAGGGCUCGUAGGCGGCCAACUAAGUCAGACGUGAAAUCCCUCGGCUUAACCGGGGAACUGCGUCUGAUACUGGAUGGCUAGAGUUUGGGAGAGGGAAGCGGAAUUCCGGGUGUAGCGGUGAAAUGCGUAGAUAUCCGGAGGAACACCGGUGGCGAAGGCGGCUUCCUGGACCGACACUGACGCUGAGGCGCGAAAGCUAGGGGAGCAAACGGG
rnacentral:rRNA from 1 species